rnacentral:rRNA from 1 species
UACGUAGGGACCAAGCGUUGUUCGGAUUUACUGGGCGUAAAGGGCGCGUAGGCGGUAUGACAAGUCACUUGUGAAAUCUCCGGGCUUAACUCGGAACGGCCAAGUGAAACUGUCAAACUAGAGUGCGGAAGGGGCAAUCGGAAUUCUUGGUGUAGCGGUGAAAUGCGUAGAUAUCAAGAGGAACACCUGAGGUGAAGACGGGUUGCUGGGCCGACACUGACGCUGAUGCGCGAAAGCGUGGGGAGCAAACAGG